UACGUAGGGGGCAAGCGUUGUCCGGAUUUAUUGGGCGUAAAGAGCGUGUAGGCGGCUGGGUAGGUCCGUUGUGAAAACUCGAGCUCAACCUCGAGACGCCGAUGGAAACCCUCCAGCUAGAGUCCGGAAGAGGAGAGUGGAAUUCCUGGUGUAGCGGUGAAAUGCGCAGAUAUCAGGAAGAACACCCGUGGCUAAGGCGGCUCUCUGGGCAUUACCUGACGCUGAGGAGCGAAAGUGUGGGGAGCGAACAGG
rnacentral:rRNA from 1 species